GGCAUUUGCCCGGUUGUACAGAUUACCAGUCCAGCCUGUGCUUGAGUCAACUUAGGCUAGCUAGCUGUCUGCAAAAGAGAACUAUGGCCUACUAUACUUUUGUGGUUGCCAUAGUCACUCUAUUCACAGUCAAGUAAAUGGUGCAGUGAAGUGCUUCCUGGUCCACAAGGCUAACAAUUAAGAGUCAUGGCACAGUUGAAUGCUCUCUGAGUGAAUACUGAAUACUGAGAGAUAAAAUGCAGGCUGGGACCUGUCAGGCUUUUGAGGUGUUUCGAGACAGAAACAGGACAGGAUGGACGUGUGGAAGUGUCUGACCCACCCCAUUCUGGUGCUGUUGGUCUAGACGUGCCCCUGGAUGUUUGGAACCAUUCUUCCCAACAGUGCUACUGCGAAAGUGCACUGAAUUGGGGCAGCGUAGGACAGAAUUUUCAAGAAUCUGUAGUCAUUCUGUGGUCUUCUCUGGAUUUUGGUCAGGAGGUGAACUGGUCAGCCAGUGUGUCCUGAAUGGAUGAGUGGCAUGCACUGGCUGGGCAGAGGAGAACCAACUAUGUCUGAGUGUGUGGUGAGUCAGCUAACCUUAAACAGAGCUGAGGUGGCUCCUGAGUCAGAUGGCAAGCCUGCCCUUGUCCAGUAUACCUCACCGUAUGUGUUCCCUUUAUGUAGACACUUGAAUUAGACAAAGCUACUGCAGAUAAAGCAUGUUUUUCUCGUCACUGCUUGAACUCCUUGAGAACCAAAACUAGUGAGUUUGAGAAGCUACAGUAUAGCGACCGUAACACAUUCCCACUCUUGGGCCAUAGGAACAGUACGUAUCUCUGAAGGAUGUAUUGUCAUGGUCAUUUCACAAGAUUUGAGGACGGUGACGGUGGAGCAGCUGUCACCGUGACGACGUGGUGGAAUGCUAGUCUCUUCUCUGAGGAAUGAGCGACCCCUCCUUCCUCCCCCUCUCUGCGUCCUUUGGUCCUCCACAAAAACGUUUGACUUGUCUGUCGAGGCCUCUCCGCGGCCUGUCCGGCUGCUACUUUACCAUUCGCCGUAAAAGAGUUUGGUAAACAAACGGAUUGGGAAGAAUUUCUAAUUGUAAACUUUGUACUCACGGAAACAAAGGCCUUGCCUCAGACCCCAGUGGGCAGGGUUUGACGUGGUUGAUCUCCACUAUACUGUGGAAUUUCCUUGUAAAAGCUGCUAAAGGAACAUCUCAUCUCCUAAAGCUUCUGUGGCAGUAAAGUCUCACAUCAAACUCACUGCACUAUGAGUCUGUUAUGGAACCUGGCCAAAAUAACGUUUAUAUGGAGUUGUGUAG